rnacentral:rRNA from 1 species
GUAGCACAGAGAGCUUGCUCUCGGGUGACGAGUGGCGGACGGGUGAGUAAUGUCUGGGAAACUGCCUGAUGGAGGGGGAUAACUACUGGAAACGGUAGCUAAUACCGCAUAACGUCGCAAGACCAAAGAGGGGGACCUUCGGGCCUCUUGCCAUCAGAUGUGCCCAGAUGGGAUUAGCUAGUAGGUGGGGUAACGGCUCACCUAGGCGACGAUCCCUAGCUGGUCUGAGAGGAUGACCAGCCACACUGGAACUGAGACACGGUCCAGACUCCUACGGGAGGCAGCAGUGGGGAAUAUUGCACAAUGGGCGCAAGCCUGAUGCAGCCAUGCCGCGUGUAUGAAGAAGGCCUUCGGGUUGUAAAGUACUUUCAGCGGGGAGGAAGGUGUUGUGGUUAAUAACCGCAGCAAUUGACGUUACCCGCAGAAGAAGCACCGGCUAACUCCGUGCCAGCAGCCGCGGUAAUACGGAGGGUGCAAGCGUUAAUCGGAAUUACUGGGCGUAAAGCGCACGCAGGCGGUCUGUCAAGUCGGAUGUGAAAUCCCCGGGCUCAACCUGGGAACUGCAUUCGAAACUGGCAGGCUGGAGUCUUGUAGAGGGGGGUAGAAUUCCAGGUGUAGCGGUGAAAUGCGUAGAGAUCUGGAGGAAUACCGGUGGCGAAGGCGGCCCCCUGGACAAAGACUGACGCUCAGGUGCGAAAGCGUGGGGAGCAAACAGGAUUAGAUACCCUGGUAGUCCACGCCGUAAACGAUGUCGAUUUGGAGGUUGUGCCCUUGAGGCGUGGCUUCCGGAGCUAACGCGUUAAAUCGACCGCCUGGGGAGUACGGCCGCAAGGUUAAAACUCAGAUGAAUUGACGGGGGCCCGCACAAGCGGUGGAGCAUGUGGUUUAAUUCGAUGCAACGCGAAGAACCUUACCUGGUCUUGACAUCCACAGAACUUUCCAGAGAUGGAUUGGUGCCUUCGGGAACUGUGAGACAGGUGCUGCAUGGCUGUCGUCAGCUCGUGUUGUGAAAUGUUGGGUUAAGUCCCGCAACGAGCGCAACCCUUAUCCUUUGUUGCCAGCGGUCCGGCCGGGAACUCAAAGGAGACUGCCAGUGAUAACUGUGAGGAAGGGGGGGAUGACGUCCAGUCAUCAUGGGCCUUACAACCAGGGUUACCCCGGGUUCAAUGGGGCCAACAAAGAAGAAACAACCUCGCGAGAACAACGGACCUCAAAAAGGCGCGCAAUCCCGGAUUGGAGCUGCACCCCACUCCCUAAACCGGAAUCGCUUGUAAUCG